CACCCCCACCCCCACCUCCGAUUCCGAUCUCCCCCGCCUCGCUAACAUCAAAAUCAAAUCCUCUUCCCCCCGUUUCCCACCUCCCACCACCCCUUCCACCACCGAUACCCCCACCGCUGGUGCUCAACGCAAGAUCGGCAUCGCCGUCGAUCUAAGCGACGAGUCCGCUUUCGCCGUUAAGUGGGCCGUCCAUCAGUACCUCCGUCCAGGUGACGCCGUCAUCCUUCUCCACGUCCGUCCCACUUCCGUCCUCUACGGCGCCGAUUGGGGCUCCGUUGAUCUCUCCAUCGUCGAUACCGAAAACGAAGAGUCUCAGCGAAAACUCGAGGAUGAUUUCGACACGUUUACUACUACUAAAGUCUCGGACAUAUCUCAGCCGUUAGUUGAUGCU
rnacentral:lncRNA from 1 species